GACGAACGCUGGCGGCGUGCUUAACACAUGCAAGUCGAACGAAGUGGCGAACGGGUGAGUAAUACGUGAGUAACUGCCCUCCUUUUUGGGAUCAGCCUUGGAAACGGGGUCUAAUACCGAAUAAAGGGGGAUGGGCUCGCGGCCUAUCCGUUUGUUGGUGGGGUGUUGGCCUACCAAGGCGGUGACGGGUAGCCGGCCUGAGAGGGGACCGGCCACAUAGGGCUGAGAUACGGACCAAGCGCCUACGGGAGGCAGCAGUGGAGAAUAUUGGACAAUGAGGGAAGCCCUGAUGCAGCAACGCCGCGUGCGGGAUGACGGCCUUCGGGUUGUAAGCCGCUUUCAGCCAUGACGCGGUAGUGGCAGAAGAAGCACCGGCUAACUACGUGCCAGCCGCCGCGGUAAUAC
rnacentral:rRNA from 1 species